CCUACGGGAGACAGCAGUGGGGGAUAUUGGACAAUGGGCGGAAGCCUGAUCCAGCGACGCCGCGUGAGUGAAGAAGUAUUUCGGUUUGUAAAGCUCUGUUAGCAGGGAAGAAAGAAAUGACGGUACCUGACCAAGAAGCCCCGGCUAACUACGCGCCAGCAGCCGCUGUAAUACGUAGGGGGCAAGCGUUAUCCGGAAUUACUGGGUGUAAAGGGAGCGUAGACGGUAAAGGAAGUCUGGUGUGAAAGGCCGGGGCCCAACCCCGAGACUGCUUUUGAAACUAUUGAACUUGAGUGCAGGAGAGGUAAGCGGAAUUCCGAGUGUAGCGGUGAAAUGCGUAGAUAUUAGGAGGAACACCAGUGGCGAAGGCGGCUUACUGGACUGUAACUGACGUUGAGGCUCGAAAGCGUGGGGAGCAAACAGGAUUAGAUACCCCUGUAGUC
rnacentral:rRNA from 1 species